GUUUGCCUUUAUGAGAACACCCAAUAAAUUAAAAACGAUACAGAGAAGAUUAGCAUGACCCAUUUACAAGAAUGACGUACACAAAUCGAGAAAUAAUUGUUGUCAUU